GGCCAGGAUGGGGCGCGCCUGGGCUCCCACUUCCCGCCCAGAGAAGGCAGGAUGGCGGCCAGAAUGGGGCGCGCCUGGGCUCACUCCCAGCCCGGAGAAGGCAAGAUGGCGGCCAGGAUGGGGCGCGCCUGGGCUCACUCCCAGCCCGGAGAAGGCGGGAUGGCGCCGCCACUUUGGACAACCCUUGGUCAGGUUUUUAAAAGUUAGAUGUGCCCAGUAACUGAGAAAUCCCGAUUCUUACAGCUCCACAAAAAGCCGCAUACAGGUGUUCGUGGCAGCUUUAUGGUAACAGCCGCGAACUGGACGCCACCCAAAUUCCCUUCAGUGGGCGCCUGGAUGGGCACAUUGAUGACAAGCAAUAAACUACCGACCCACGCAAUUGUCACAUGCACGGCGGGGGCGGCGGAAGCCGGGUCAAGUCCGCGGGGUUCCUUUUCUGCGACUUUUGGGAAAAGCAAAAGGUGCAGGGGGAGAGCAGGUCAGCGGCUGCCAGCGGCCGGGUGUCCGGCCUGAGCUGGGGAAGAGGUGAGAGUCUCCAUGCGAAGUGGACUGAGCACUUUCUGAACACCUGAGAUAAGAUGGUUCUAAUUCCCCAGUGUGAGCUGGAAGCUCUGGGAUCCAGCCCGGGCUGAAACGCAGGGAAGGACGACCCCGGGCAAAUCCGAAGACAGGGAGCGAUCAACACAAAGCUGCUCCCAAACCAAGGCCGCCGCCUGUGCCGCUUCCCUCCUCCCCCCGACUCCCAGAGGCAAAGCCUCUUUCCUCUGCCGGGUCCCUCCCGCCCGGCGUGGGUAGAAUCUUCUGGGCCGAGACAGUUCCUCCACUCGGCGGGACACUGCUACGCAAAACGGGAAACGAGUUGGUGAACCCCGGCGUAAACACCCUACAGUUCCCAGGGGCUUCUGCAUGCGGAAUUCAGCUUUUCAUGAGCUUGGGCAGGAGGCCGAAUUGGAAAAACUAUGGGCAGAGACAGCUGGGGACCAGACACCCUGCAGAGAGAAGACUUGCUGUCCCUGAUUUAGGGACAAUGGGCUCAGAGGCCUGAAGGUCCUUGCUCGGACACGGGAUGGGAGUGGCAGGGCUGGAAUGGCAGCUCAGCCCCGUGGCUCCUCAAUGGGGCUCAGUACAGAUCUGGGAAAAUGGGUUUUGUUUUGAAGUUAGUAUGAGCCUGGGGUUUCCAGGGGCCUAGUGAUGACUGUGGGUCUAAAGUCAGGAACAGUGCAGGAGAGAACUGGACUGUUAUUCUCUUCUAUGGGGAACUCUCGAAGUGUCUCAUUUGAAGGUAUCUAUGAUACCUUAAUACCAAAUUCCUCUCAAGAAAAGCAUGGAAAUCAUUGUGGAAGGGAAAGCAGGGGGUCUUCUUGUAAAUUCUUGCCCCGAUUUGGCCCUGUCCUGGAGCGUGUUCCCCACAACCCUCACCCCCAGGACCAGUCUCAGCUCAGGCUCCUCAGGGGACAGACUCCAGUGGAGAGGACAGAGGCUCCCAGGAUAUGAGGCAAGGGAGUAUCUGGAUGGGGUGGGGCAGGUUCCCUGGAGGCCAGCAGCUGGAGGCAGGGGUCUCAGCAGGCACGGGCUCCACCUACCGGGCACUGUGAUGGUGAGGGUGGUGUCCUCAAGGAACCGCUCGGUCCAGUACACAGAGGGCCUGGAAUAAGUGAGCAGCUCAGGGCAAGGGAGGCAGAGAGCCCUGGCCCUGCCCGGAAACAAGCCAGGGUCUCUGCCGGGAGGGUGGCCAAGGGGGGGUGUGGAGUUGCUGGAAGAGGGGGUAGGCCAGAGAAGGACAGGGAGGGGGCCACCGGGACGUGUGGAUUGUUGUGAGCAAGGCUGAUGUCCAGAGAGGGAGGUAGCUGGGGGAAAAGCAUGGCUAAGAAGAGGGCCCAGGGCCAUCUCCUGGGAGCAGACCCAGGUCACAGCCGAUUGCCUGAGUCCAAAGCACAAGGGUAGAGAGCCCCACAUCUGAGGAGCCCUCCCCAUCCUCCUCCCUAGAGAGAAGAGGGUGGCUCGAGUGGAGGGGCUCCCCGGAACCUGACACGUGUCCCCCGGCAUAGGCAGAUGGAGGAGACAGCCCUGGACUUACCAGUAGAGACAGAACCGUAAGCUCAUCUUGCAUGGGAAAAUCCAAGCAUACCCCUUACCACAGCAUCCCUUCCUGCGAGGAGACAGGGUCCGAGCCCCCACUGCCUUUUGCCCUGGGUCUCCCGUUUGCUCCCAAACUCCUCUCUCUCCUUUGGCCACCGCCCAGAGGGCCACCGAGGGCCGCAGUUCCCUAGCCAGGCCCGGCGUCUGGCCACCUCCUUAACUGGCCAACCCCAUCUACCCUAAGUUUGCUGGAUGUGGUGGCGGUUGUGGGAGGGGAGCCGAGCAGUGGGGACAGGAGGAGCCCGGGAAGGGUGCAGAGGAAGCCCCAGCCCCCACGAGGCCAUGGUUGGUCUGGCCUGUCCUCACCUGUCUUUCAGGACUUGCCAGUUUAUCUUGGGCUCUGCCAGCUCCAUGAGCCUCCGCCGCCUUGUCUUCCUCCUUGCUUUGGCCAUGACGGUGCUGGGGAGCUUCUGGCUGAUGGACAGCCGGCUUUGGGAGAAUUCCAUGUUGAAGUUGGAGCUGCUUUCUCGCCCCGACGCGUUUGGGGGCCCAGAGAAGCGUGGGUCUUGCUCGAGCGCCCUGCCCACCCGCCUCUCCUUUCCCGAGAAGGGUCUCUGGGGGAGGACUUUGGCACCACGAAGGCCUGGACCAAACCGCAGCUCCACUGCUGGCUGGAAUGGAAGACCCUGGCCAGGUCACCCGGCUUCCCAGGCCCUCAGCCGCCUCCUCUGUGAAUUGGAGAUGAGACCAGCUCCCACCCGGUGGGGCUGUUUCAGUGAGUUCUAAGGCUAGCACGGCCCGGUGAGGACAGGGCUGCUGCUUUGUUCUUGGGCGGCACAAGUCCCUAGGCAGGACGGAGACCACGGUGAGAAGGACGCAGGCUGGGCGUGGGCGUGGGCCGGGACCACACUCUGCAGGGAGGGCGGGAGCCAAGUUCCAGAGGUAUGUAGAGUGCGCGCCUUGCCGGGGACACUCGGGCAACUUGCCCAGAAUCACUGCCCCCAGUGCCGAUUCGCUGAAGCGUUCGUUCGCCCAGAACGUGUUCCUCCCGACCAUUUAAAACGUUUUAGCCACGUGUGGUGCUUAGAAUUGUUUCAGCUUUUGAGUUAGGAGGCUUUUUUUUUCCCCAUUUCUUUUUCUCGCUGUCUGACUUGAAGUCAUCACUUGUUAAACUGAACUCUGGACACCUGAACUCAGUCUGCCUGACUCCA